rnacentral:lncRNA from 1 species
AUCACUGUCCCUGAUCUCGAUGAUGUAUAGUUUUUCCCAGUGGAAACUUUUAUGUGCAUUCCAUGAGGCUUUAAUUUUUUAUUUUUUCUUUUGUCAACACAAGGUUGUAAUUUAAAAAAAAAAAAAUGAUAACUCUUUGUUAAUAUUAUGUAUUUUUUAUAAAAAAAUAUGGAUUUUCUUCACAAAUAUAAAUGGUUUUAAAGUAUUUUUUUCUAUAAAUAUAAGUAGUUUUUUAAAUAUUUAAUAAGAUUUUUUAGUCUUUACUCAUGAUAUAUGAAAAAUAUUAACUAUUUCUAUAAUUUUCUAAAAUCAUAUUUAGUCAAAUAAAUAAUGUGAGAUAAAUUAUAAUUUAAUAAAAUUAAGAAAAAUUUUAGUAUAAUUUAGGAGAAUUAAUUAUUUUUUAAUUACUGAAAAAAAAAUCUUAAAUGAUUUAUUUGUGAAUGGAAGGAUUACAUUUUUUUAAAUCAAUUGAUAUUUCUUUAUGCUUAGAUUGGGAUAAAAUUUUUAGUCAAUUAAUAAAUAGCUUUAAACUCAUAUCGAGAAAAUUAUGGCAUUUUUAAAUUACUCGCUCCAUCCUAAAAUAUUAAUAGGUUUAAGGUGGUUAUUUCAUUCAAAAAUAUAAGAUAUUUUAAAUAUUUUCAGAUUUUUUUUAAUUUUAUCUUUGUGUAUAUUAUAUAUAAUAAUUAUCUUCACAAAUUACUUUUAAUUUUGAAUUAAAUAAUAAUUUAAUUUAAUUACUCUUAACUUUAUUAUAAUUUAAGAAAAUUAACUUUUUUCUUAAUUUUAAUAUAAAAUCUUAAAUGAUUUAUAUAUUUAGAAUGAAGGAGUACAAAUUUUUAUAUUUCCAUUAUUAAAAAUAUUGCAUAGACUAAAUAUCAAUCCACAAAUGGCAUAUAAAGUUGACGAGCAAUCUAACUAAUUGAUUAAUAUUAAUCUUUUAGCAUUGAUUGGCCUAGACCCAAAUAACCCAUAAAUUACCAUUUUGUCCAAAAGUUGGUGUAUGUGCCUAAAAAAAAAAAAAAGAAAAAGAGAAAAAAAUUCCUAACCCUUAAAGCAAUUGGAUAGAAUCCAAAAGUUUGUUCAUUACCCACUUUUAGUGGGUAAUAAAUACAUUUGCAAUCGUAAAAGGUAACCUAAUUAAUAAGCAAAUCUAUAACUUUCCAUAAUCUACUACCUUAAAAAACCAUUAAAUUUUUGUAUAAAUUAUAAUAAAUUAUUGAGUAAAUUGACUGUGUUAUCUUUAUUUAAUAUCAUUUUUUAAAAAACUAUUAAAUUAAAUUAGUAAUUAUUGGUCACAUAUAAAAGGUAAAUAUAGAAAAAAUGAAUUUAUUACUUCUUGAAUUGUAAAUAUAACAAGUAUUAUAGAACAGAGAUAUUAGAAUAUGAAAAGGAAAAACUACGAUUUUAUCAUUAUAGUUUCACAUGAUUAAUUAUUUUGCUCUUACAUUUUAAAAAUUAUACUAUUUUAUUCAUGUAGUUUGUUCCCAUUGAAUAAUAUCCUUUCAUCUAUUAUUUAAGAUUUGUUAAUAGUUCCAAAUUACAAUGAUAAAGUAGUUAAUUAUGUAAAAUCUAUAGCCAAAAGUGUAAUUUUCUCUUUUUAGUUCAUAUAUGUAUAUUGGGUUAAUCCUAUAAUUACACUAGUAUUUAACCACUUAAAUCUCAAAUAAUGGACGGAAAGAUAAAUUCGUUUAAGAGAUUUAAACUACAUGGAUAAAAUAAUGUAAUUUUUAAAAUAUAAAGACAAAAUAAUUAAUUGUGUGAAAAUAUAGAGAUAAAAAUAUAAUUUCUAAAAAAAAGACUUGAAUGUCUUUUUUUUUUUAAAAAAAAAAAAACUUUUGUACCUCCUAACUCCACGUUCUUCGAUAGAACUAGUUUUAAUAUAUGAUUAUAUAUUCGCAUAAAGGAUGUAUCAAGCCCGCGAAUAAUAAAACUUUUGUUAUUCUAUUUUGCAAUAUUUUUUUAAUUAAUCCCCAAUUACUUGCAUUAAAAAGUAAUUUAAAUUACUGACCUAAUAUAAUUGAUUUAAUUGAAAAUGACUCAGUUAUCUUAAAUAAGCGGUCGACUGUUCUAAUUUUUUUUUUAAAGAAAAAAACAAUGUUUAAAGUUUGUGCUAUUUAUUUAUUUAUCUUCCUAUCUUAUAAUGAGAGAGAUAUUGGUUAUUUCAUAACUCUAAUAAGAAAUUAUAAGGACCGACAACACAUAUAUCUUGAUAAAUCUUAAGGCACAACUCUAGAACCAAAACUUAGAAUAUUUUUUUUAAAUUGAUAUCAUAAAAUGUAAAUAGAUAAAACAACUCCCUAUCUUCAAAAAAUUAAUCAUUAUUACAUUUGAUUAAAAAAAAAAAAAAAAAGACAGUUCUUUUGUUUCCAAGUUCCUUUCCAUUGACCAUAUAUGUCGGAUUGCAAUUAGAUUAAAUUAAAACACUUAUUGCAAUGCAGGCCGAAUAUGUAGAAAAAGUUUUUGAAUUUGAUUUUCAAUAAACGCACCUAUAGGAAGGGAUGAAGAGCAUUAACUAUGAGUAAUCCCGAGCUAAAUUAGACAGUCAUUGAUAAUAAGAUCCGAAUACCGGUAAUUUACACAAAAAAAAAUUAAUACACUUACUUAGAGCACAAUUAAGUUAGUAAUUGUCAUAAAAGUUUGAACUACUCCCACAUGUCAAUUGUCUUAACCUGGUUGCAGGUUAAUAUCAAAUGUAACUUGCCACCUAAUGCCCUUGUCAAGUUCCUCUCAAAGGGAUCAUUUAUAUGAUUGCUUAAUAAAUGUUUAAUGUGGUUUUAUCUGCAUUAUAGAAAGUUAUAUACAUAUCCCAUUUGAAUAGGUGGAUUGUUAUAUAUGCCAAAUAUGUAAAUUAACACCUAAAUUUUAUAUAAAAAAAAUUAUAUCUUCAAUUUUUAUUUUGAUUUAUUGAAUAUUUCAAUUUAAUUUAAUUUGAAAAAUUACACAUCUAGUUGAGACCUUUUAAAUAUCAUUUGAUCUUUUUUAAUUUUAGUGAUUUAUCUAUAGAUGAUGCUGUACCAUGAUACCAUUGUUGAUGCGUAAUCAGUAUUUCAAGCUAAAAUCCACGAAAUUGAAAUCAAAUUUUAAAAAAUUAGGAAGAAAAGCAUGAUAAAUAUCCUUUAUUUUGUGGACAUUGAACUAAUUAAUAUUUCAAUUAUGUUAUAUAUAUCCAGCCCCUUAAGAUAUAACAAAUUACUCAUGUAAACUAGAAAUUUAUAAUUUGAAAUAAUAAAAAAAAGCAUUUAUGUAAACAUAAUGAUGGAAGCUGAGCGAGUAUCUUUGAAUUUUAAAUUAUACGCACAUUCAAACUCUUUUGACUAAUUUUAAUUAAAUUCAUUUAAAAUAUUUUUUUAUUAGUAAUGAGAUAUAGUAUCUGUAAAUACCUACAAUCAAGUUUAUUUAAUACGGUGAAUAAUGAUAAUAUGUACCUAAAAUUUACAAGAUGGACCGAUCUAAAUCUAAUUUAUUAGGUUGUUUAUAGAUUAAAUUAAUAAAAAAUAAUAUUUUUUGUUAAAACAAAAAGUAUUUUUAACCAUAUGCUUAACGAGAAAAAAAAUUUGUAGAAUUUGUCAAUUUUCGUUUUUCAAGCUUAAAAUCGUUUUAUUUAAUGAAUUGCAUAUCAUAUUGGCAUUUGAACAAGGAGUGUGGGGCCAUUGCAAACAUUUAAUUGUUAAUGAAAAAAAUCGUGAGUUUAUGGGACGUAUUAAUACAAUUCAGAAAGGAGCGUCUGUAAUAUCAAAUUUCAAUGCCAAACAAAUCCUUCUUGUGGGUCAGCCUCCCUUACUAUGAUGUUCGGAUUCGGAUUUUGUUUUUAUUUUUUAUUUUUUCAUUUAUUAUUGCUUGUGACGUUCAGUUUUAGUUUUUAGAGUGCCAUUCGAAACAUGGUCCCUCUUCGACAUUCAUUUUCUGAAAAAAAAAAAAAAAAAAAAAAAAAAAUUGUUAGAAGAUGUAAUGUAACAUAGAAAAAGAAGUUACAAAUGAAAUAUUUUAAAAUGAAUUAUCCAAAUUAUGCAUAAAAAGAAAAAGUUUAUUGUAGGAUCUUGAAGGCUUGAGUGUUUGUGUUUAUUUCAUAUUGAAUUGUUUUUUUUUUUUUAGGAAUAUUUCAUAUCGAACUUAAAAAAUAUUAUCAUCCAAUAAAAAUAAGCCGUAUGUUUAUUAAAAAUGAAAUAUGUGGAUUAAAACUAAAAAUAAAAAUGGAGAUAUAAUUGAAUCAUUGAAAUUUUUUUAUUUUAAUGCAUGAAUAUUAUUUUUAAUAUAUAUAUUUUCUUAAAUUGAUCUUGUUAAGAUUCAAGCUUGUUAUUUAGUAGGCUAAAUGUAUAAAUUCACGCUUGUAUUUUAUUAUAAAAAAUUUUUUAUAAUACUCUCAAUAUGUAGUUUGAUCAAUUAAAGACUUUAAAUUAUAAAAUUGUGUCUAUUGAAUAUUUCAAUUUAGCAAAAUUUUUUAUAUUAAACAUUCAAUUUGUAGAGUUAGAUUAAUUAAAUAUUUAUUAAAUAGUUAAAACAUGUUAAAAUUAUUAUUUUAAAAAUUAUAACAACUAUAUAUCAAAUCAAUAGAUUGUAUAUAAAAUUCAAAAAUAUCAAAAAAACUUAUUAUUAUAAAUAUGGAGAGGUAUGUAAUGUUAGUAUAAUUUAUAAUUUUACGGCACACAAUAAAUUCAACGUAAAAAAUUAAGAUGCCGGAAGAGUAAAAAAUUAAGAUGCCGAGUGAUUUCUGUCAGAAAGUAGUUCAACGAAUUUAUAUAUUUAGCGACUUUUUUAGUAGUUUUCCUAUUGCUUCACCUAUUUGACCAAGACGGAAAAAGACAUUUGAACGUGAUUAAAGCAAUCUUCUUUCAAGGUUUAUAACGGAUAUGUUAAAAGUUUGAAACUAGAAAAGUGGUUAAUCUAUUCAUAAUUGGAGAGGUUAAGCAUUUGGAAGUUGAUUGAGACAAAUAAAUAACAAAUUGAAGCAAGAGGGAUUCUAACCUAUUAGUAUUAGCCAAACUGUUAAUUUGCCACUAUGCCAUCGAUUGAGGGACUAUAUUAUAUGGUUACAGUCUCGAAGGCCCUGCAGCUAGCUAUGAAUUGCUUCAACAUGGGAGACAUUACAAUUUCUAAUUUAUACAUAUAAUAUAUUAUAUUGGCAGGUACGUCUUUUUUAUGCACUCAAUGUCUUUAAGUUAUUAUUAUUAUUAUGAAUUUCUUACUUUGACGUCACGGUAUUAUUAAGAUAUCUCCGGCAAAAUUAACCGUUUUACUAGCUGUUAGCUGUUUUUUUGUAAAACGCUAAAAGUUAAACGUUAGAUGAGUUAACUUUUCACGUUAUAUGAAUUAACUUUUCAAGAAAUGCUAUCUUAAUCUCUAAAAGCUAAUUCAAACAUUAUGUUGCCAAAUACUGUAAAACAGUAGCGUUUAAAAAAAAAUUGCUUAAAAAUUGUUGCCAAACACAUUCUAAAUCUUAAAAUCAACUUGGUGCUGGAGAAAAUAAAAAAAAAAACACUAUAUAUAUAUAUAUCAAUCAAAUUUAACCUAACCGGUUUCCAUCAAUUUUAAAUGCGAAAAAAAUUGAAAAAUUGCACAUUUGAAUUUUGAAUUUACAAAAUAUUAACUGAUUUUAAAAGAAAUAUUCUGACUAAUAAAGGGACGAAAUUAUAGUAAAAAUUACGUAAAUUUUAGCAAUUUUAGUUUUUAUAUCACCGUCGGUGCAAAAUAUAAGAUUACGGAGAAUCAAUGUGUUAAUUCUAAUAAUUUAAUAACAGAAGUGCACUUAUUUAUAAAAGGGAUAAAACACAGAAGUAAAAUAAAAUUUUCAUAUAAGUCAUAAGUUCACACCAUUGAAAUUAUUCUCAAUUAAAAAAUGAACUAAUAUAUCACAUAAUUAUCAAAUACUAUUAAUGAAAAAUGACUUAACCUUAAUUUCGUUCCAACUAGAAAAUGAUGAGCCUCCUUGAGUUAUGGCAUUGUUUCUGGUUUUCUGCACAAUAGGUUAGCGUAUCGUAGCAUGUAGAAGAUGAUAUUUCCCCGAAAGACACCCACUUGGCCCUCGGUCUUUUUAUCAUCAUUACCAUCAACCAUCCAAGAGACACCGCAUUUGAUAGGCCAUGAUUAUGUAAUAAUUUUAAUACAUUGGUAUUUAUAAGAAAUUCUUUAUACAUUUGAAAGAUAAUAAAUGGAACUUAGAGGAGAACUAUCCCAUUCAACGACACUCCGUUUAAAAAAUGCAUAAAUGUAGCAUAACUUUGUUUAUAAUGUAAUGUAGGUUUUCUAUAGUAUGGGCCCAAUGAUUGUGUAUGGCUCUGGAGUACAUCAAGUUUGGGUUCAUGAUCAACCCAAGCCCAAUACUAUGACGAGCCCAAAACAGACCCAAGACCGUUUUAACUUCAAAUGCUUUAAUGAUAAACAUGGAGUAUGCGUCUAGUGUCACUUUUAUUUUAUGAGCAGGAAAGAUCCGAUAAAAAAAUAAAUCGGAAACCGGAAAACUAACUGUUGAUUGAACCGUUAAGAUCAGGUCCAGUUUGGUUUUUUCAAAACUGAUUUUAUAUUCGAUCUGAUUUUGAUUUUUUCUAUAUCAACUCCAAUUGGCCACUGCACUAAGUCCAUCCUCCGCUGUCUGAGUCUGGACCCAUCCCAAUCCGAAAUCUGGAAAACUUAUCCUAUCAAAUUAUACUAAUAAGAACAAAGAGCAGGGUUUUGGUGCGGCAUCUUUAUUAUGCUUACGGUGGGAUUUCCUCCAGUUAUUGGUUGAGGUUUACUUACACUUGCGGAUGGAAGCAGGGUGGAUGCCCCUUAAUAACAUUUAUAAAUUUUAAAAUUCAAAAAUCAAACUUAUUUAAAAUGUAUAUAUUUUUUACUAACAUCGUGCAAACAAUUACUGGCUACAUCCGACUAAACUACUGUGAUACAAUGGAUAGCGGUAUUGAAAGAUUUAUACCUACAAUCACGUAAUUUUACUUUUUAUAUUAAUUUCAAACUUAUUUAUAAUCACUCUCAUUAAAUAAAUCGAAACAAGUAUGUAAAAUAUCCUCCUCUUCUAUCCCUAUUUGUAUUAAUAAUAAAUUAUUCAUUAUAAAAUCUUGAAUUUUUAAAAUAAUUUAUAUUAAUAAAUAGAUAAACUUUAAAUAUUUUAUCGUAAUUCAAAAUGUUACAUCUUUAAUUAAAUAAAAAUUAUUUUUAUGAAAUAGAUUAUUAAUGAAAAUUAUAUUAUACAAAAAAGUUCACCAAUCUAUAUAAAAAAAAAUUAAAUUAUAAAUUUAGAAGUGUUAAAUAUUGUGAAUUUUUAUACAAAAAAUAGAAAGUCAUAAUCUUUCAAUAAAUGGAGACUAAAAUCUCCAUUGACGAUUACAGAAGUUGGUAUGUUGCUGACAAUUAGUGUUUUGUAGAUUGCUUUUUUUAUUAUUAUUUUUGUUUGUGAUGUUUGUUUAUGAUAAUUAUUUUUUUUCAAAACCAUAAGUUUCGCAGUUUUCUUAUUGUUAUUUCUAUAUAUGAUGUCUCUUUAUCUUUUUCUUCUGAUAAUUAUUUUUUCUCAAAAUUAUAAGUUUCGCAGAACUUGAUUAAAAUUAUAAUGUGAUGUCUAUUCCCAUCACCAUAAUCAACUUUUUUACUCUCUCUAGAAUUGUCAAGCUCCCUUUAUUUCAUUUCUUGUGAAUUUAAGUUUGAAUUAGAAAAUAAAAUCCUAAUCAAUAAAGAAACCAAGAAGCAAAUAGUGGAGAGAUGGAAGAAAAAAGAAAAGCUAAUAGAGAAAUAUGAGAUUGAGCGUAUAACGGGUGAUCAAUAGAGAUCACAUAGGAGAGAGAUAUCAGAUUUUGAUACAAAUCAAAUGAGAGAGAGAGAGUUGAUACAAAUUCUGCAAAUCACAUAUAUAAUAAACUUAUGGUUUAAUCACUUUAGUUAUGUUGUGAAAUUCAUGCUCUUUUAUUAAUUUUAAUACUAAUAAUUUGUUAUUUGCAUCUUUUAUUAUAAGUUGACUCAUUAAAUGACUUAAAGAUUAAAUAUAGAUUUUUAAUCAUUAUUCACAAUUUAGAGGUUAAAUUAAACUUUGUUUUUGAUUGAAAUAUAGGAGAUAAUUUUGAUAGUUGGAGAAGUCACGAUCUCGUGAAUUUUCAAAUUUUGAUUUAUAUUCAUACUCUCUCAAGUUUUAAAUUUAUAUUUACAUUUUUUUUUAUAGAUGUUAUUUAGUGUUUAAUUCUGCUAUAUAAAUUUAAAAAACUAAAUGGUAUGUUUAUUUGUAAAUAACUAAAUGACAUAUUAAUAAAACGAUACGAUGUAAAUAAUUUGUAUGUUUUGAUUUAUAUAAAAUCUAAAUAUUGACCAUUUUAAAUGAAUAUUUAUUUAUUAUUUUAAUAUUUAUAGUCAUUUUAUAAAUAUAAAGAAAUUAUAUUUCUUAUUUUGGGGGAAAAAAUUCUCUCACUUUUAAUUUGCAUAAUAAAUAAAGGGAUUGAUUCGUUUCGACGAAAUUUGUUAACAGAGCCCAUACCAUACCGAAGACAGUGAAGCCGUUCCCAGAUUAGCACUACCGUUGAAAUAUUAUUAAGUUUCCCUACUCGCUAAUUAUACAAAACAAUAUACUCGCCCGAGACACGCAGCCACGUUUUUACUGAUAUCAACUUUAAAACUUCUCGUGACUUAUCGUCUCCGCUCUAUCUUGAUCCCGAAAUACCUCCGAAAACCUCUUAUCAGAUGAUGCCAUCAAAUCCGAAGAAGCGACAGCGCGUGUUACAUCACCGCUAUUUAUCCUCCGCCAACGCCUCCGCCACCACCACGCGCCUCUCCUCCACCGCAGCUCUCAUCGAUUCCUUCUCCGACAAAACCAUCACAGAAACCUCCCAGAAGCUCCGUCGCACAUCCUCUCAUCCUCUCUUUCCAUCCUCCACUUCAUAUUCAUCGUACGCAUUUACCACCACCAACGCCGACACCUCGUUCAACGACCCCACCACCGCUGAUGUCAUCCUUCGCCUUUUCCUUGACGCUACAGCCCCCUUUACAGAUGGUGAUGGUUGCUUUUCCUCCGUCGGUGAACAAUCUGACGUCCAGAUCUACCUUCAUUCUCAAGUCCUCCGUCGUGCGAAGUAUUUCUCUGCCCUAUUAUCUGAUCGCUGGCAACCCAACUCUUCCGCCAUUGAAUCCAAUUAUCCAAAUUCCAAUGGCAAGAGUUUGAUCUCUCUCAAAUUCGGGGUUCAGCCUACUCAGGGCUCCAUGGAUGUUCAUUUAACCGUGCUUGAACUCCUUUACACCGACGAUUUUACCACCGUAAUAAACUCUGCAUCCACGGCUCUUGAUAUUCUACCUGUGGCGUUAGAGUUGUUAUUCGAAGAUUGCGUGAAGAAUUGUGUUAAAUUCCUGGAAGCGGUCCCGUGGAGCGAAGAAGAGGAGAAACGUGUGCUCAGCUUGAUUCCUUUUUUGCGUGAAGAGGAAUCUCAAGAGCUUUUAGCUAGGACUUCACCGGGGAAGGAUGAUUCGUGCGAGGAAAUGCUUCACGGAUUGAUAUUAGCUGCAAUUCAUAACCAUCCAAACAUGGCUUUCGUGAAGGCAUUUGUGGCUAAAUUGUUGAGGGAAUUUUCGUCGAGAGAGUCCGCUAGGAGAGUUCUGGAGAGAGCUUUUGAGGAGAGUUUGAAGAUUGUGAAGGAAUCGCUUGAGGAGUACUCAAGUCCUGAUUUUAGAGGGGAUCACAAUGAGACGGAGGCAAUACAGAGAUUGAAUCUGCACACGGCCUUGACUAAUGGGAAGCAUUUGCUGUGGCUGGUGGAGAGGAUGAUUGAGCUGAAGGUGGCGGAUAGUGCGGUGAAGGAGUGGAGUGAGCAGUCGGCUUUCACAGCUGAUUUGCAGCGUGCGUUUCGUGAUGAUGCAUGGAGGAAUAUUGUGCCGGGUCUUCCUGCUGUUGUGCUUCGUUGUACAUUGAAGCUUGCCAAUGCGGUUGCUGCUGGGACCAUUUUGGCUGCUAGACAGGUAUGCUUUUCGCUUUGCAUUGCAAUCUGCCACUUAUUUGCAUAUUAGUUCAAACUUUGCAGCUUUAAUAAUUGAGAAUUAUAGAAUUGAAAUUGCUGUGAAGGGAAGGAAACACUGCUUUCAUUUAUAAUGAUCUUUUAAUGUUGGGGGGGGUAUUUGUAUAUGUAUCUCUUAUGUUGAAGUAUACUUGCCUAACCUUUCACCCUUAAUGUCCUAUUUUGAUUAUAAUCAAGGUUUAGUGCUUUUAGGGAGGUUGUUUCAUGUUUUCUGUACUUUUUACAAUGUCACAAUGGCUAUAUUAUAUUGCUUAACUGAAGGUUGAGAUAGCUGAGGCAGGCUCAUGCUUUUGUUCAAAUAUAAAGAACUCAUGCGAAUGUUUGAUUCAUGAAGAUUGCAUCCUUCUAUAUUUUAUGGAACAAAGUGACAGAAUAAGGAAUUUGUUUCUUUUUUAUAACUUAUUACCUAUAUAAUGACUAGAAAAACUUUGUAGCGAUGGUGGUAACUAAUAGAGUUUUGGAUUGUGUUAGGGUGUACAUGGUUCUGUAUGGAUAAAUUUCAAAACCAAGUCAUUAUCUGUUUAACGAAAGAACCAAACCAGGAACGAAUAUAAAUGUCAUGUAUUGUUGUGGUAUUGAGACACUUGGAGGUAUAGAAUCAUUUAAUCGAAUAAAAUUAUUGCUUAGUUUGACAUACAACUAUGAUGCUGAAUAAGAUAUGAAAAUAUCAAGGAUGAAGAUCUGGGGAUGGAAAGGUGAAGAAAUCUUAAACUGAAGAAUUCAAGAUGAAAUAUGUUGAGCACUGCAGGAGACUUUUAAGGAAUUCUUCUUGAAUAGAGCGAGUACAUUCUUCAGAAAAAUCCUCCAAGUUCAACUUUGCAAAUACAGAUUCUCGGAGUUCCCACUUCUAGUAAAUUUUACCUCCUCUUGCUUGGAAAAAGAAGUAUAUAUAUAAUUACAUGUGAGCCUUUAUGUAACGCAAUUUCUACCCUUUUGCUUAAAGUACAGCACUAACUUGAGCCUUUAUGUAAAUCAAUGUGAUAAAUCUGGCUGCUUUCCUUUUUAUGAUGCCACAUUGCACCAGCAUUUUGCAAUCUGCUGGGGUGUCUACUGUUAAAACUCCAAGAAUAUAAAUGCAUAAAAUGAAUUAACAUGCAGAACAUCCCCAUUACAGAACUUGACUUACUGGAACCUAUGUUUGACACUUCGGCUUGGACCUUCAAUAAAUUGUAUUUCCUUGUAUCAUCCAACAUAGUUACUAUAGUAGAUGGUUAAGUUGGAGUACUUUCUUGCAGGUGAGGAUGAAGCUUGUAAAGGACUGGCUUCCUGUUCUGAUUGUAUGCAAAGACAACGUGUCACCGAUGUCGCCUAGUCAUAAAUCACUGUACAUAGAGCUGGAAGAAACAUUCCUAAGAAUUAUCUCUACGCUGCCAAUGUCAGAUGCACAAGAGUUGUUGCAGCAGUGCCUCAGCUUCUCAACUCGAAAUGUUGAAGAUUGCCCUCAUUUGGUCUGUGCAUUCAACACUUGGUUCCGCCGUGCAAUGCAACCACCACAAGGGAACCUUUGAUAGAGAGAUGGACAGUUUUUUGUUGAGAACUGUAGCCUCUGCUUCUGAAUUCUAGAUUUUUGUCAAUAUUGUGUAUAAUGCUCUGAUGUUUGUAUUAUCGCAUAGUUUACUCUGUAUAUAUACCACGAAUCUGCAUCAGGAGAAAACUAUAUGCUUUCUCUUCAUUUCUUAUACUCUUCAUUUUGGGGCAAUACCCAUGGUUUUUGAAAAAUGAUGGUGGCCUUCAUUGCAUGGUUUUUGCUAUGGCAUGUGAUGUACAUAUUUCAUUCUAGGUUUCAAUUAGAAGGGAAUCCCUUUUUUUUUUUUAAAGAGCAUGUCAAAAUUUAUUCUUGAUGCAUUGCUUUGAUUUGUGACUGGAAAUCGUGACGUGGCUGUACAUAGAAGAUUGCCACUAUAUAUGGUCGUUAGGCAUAACUUUUUUUUUUUUUUUUUCUAAUUAACUUUUAAGACUUAACUUUGUUGCUUGUGUAUCGGAAUUAAUCUGUCAACUUGAGAAUGACAACUGCAUGCUUAUCAGAAUCACAGUAUAUUUUCUAGUAGGUUCAAAUUCUCUCAUUUUUUAGAGAUAUUUCUAUGCAAUUUCGACUAUUACAUGUUCUAGCAGGUUCAAACUUGCACAUUAGAGAUGAUCUCACUACAAUUGGACUACUAUUAUUAUUUUUUUUUCUUUGGUGCUGGACCAUGUUUGUUCUAUAUGAGUCCAUUGGGGUAAGUUAAAUCCUACAUGUGCCUGUAAAAUCCUUAAGCGAUUCCAGUGAUUCCAUUGUACUCCAUCUAUAAGGAUUGCACACUCGAUUUAUUAUUUAAGAAACGACAUCCAAAUCAAUCCCUGUUCUCAAUUUAGAUUUAAUUGUGUGGAUUUGAAGCCACAUCGAUUCUAUCUUGUGCAUAUCCAAGAUAGUUUAGUAACUUUGGUCUAGUGGAUUUGAAGCGCACUAGACUCCAUUUUGAUGAUCUUAGGAUCAAUUUCUUGGUUUUGGUGGCAUUUACAAUGUUCUUGGUGCUGAAUGAUACAUAUAAAAACAACAGUAGUAACACUAAACCAUAACUAAAACAUUGAUCAAGCAAGCCAUGCAAUGUGUUCAUGUAAACAUAGGUAUAUUAACUUGAAAAAAUUAACGAGAGAUCCAAAUCUAUUUUAUGUGACAGAAAUUUCAUUGCUAUUAACACCCUUGCAAAAAGAAAAACCAGAACUCCACCGUCUUAGAAGCAACAGCAGGUUAUAGUAACUAAAAAUACAGGGUCUGUAUCGGGUGGAAAAAUGCUGCGGAGACGGUGCAGUACAUUUAACAGGCUUAAUCAAUCUUUUAUUACAGAUGCAACAACUAGAAUUUAUACAUUGCCUGCGCUCAGAUGCAAUUAUGUGAUGAGAUUAUUCACAAUCAGGGCAAUCUUUAGUUAGAGUAGCCGCCUUCUAAAGUUGCGGGCGGUGCCUUGGUAAGUUUGAACUAGCAACCCCACACCAAUUCCAAUUCCAAUGCAAAUGCUUAGGCCAAUACCAACACCUACCCUCACACCAGCAUUGAACCAUGAAAGUUCGCCGUCUUCACCUUCUAAAUAUCCUGUUCCAAAGUGACUGUAUUCUUCAUUUUCUGACUUGUGAUUUGAGUAUUCUGACAUCUGCAUUAUUUAAAAAUUAGAUUAAAGCUCUGAAGUCUAAGUCUGAACGACAACCGAGUACAUUCUUCAGAAAAACCUUUGAUAGAGAGAUGGACAGUUUUUUGUUGAGAACUGUAGCCUCUGCUUCUGAAUUCUAGAUUUUUGUCAAUAUUGUGUAUAAUGCUCUGAUGUUUGUAUUAUCGCAUAGUUUACUCUGUAUAUAUACCACGAAUCUGCAUCAGGAGAAAACUAUAUGCUUUCUCUUCAUUUCUUAUACUCUUCAUUUUGGGGCAAUACCCAUGGUUUUUGAAAAAUGAUGGUGGCCUUCAUUGCAUGGUUUUUGCUAUGGCAUGUGAUGUACAUAUUUCAUUCUAGGUUUCAAUUAGAAGGGAAUCCCUUUUUUUUUUUUAAA